GACGAACGCUGGCGGCGUGCUUAACACAUGCAAGUCGAACGGAAAGGCCCUGCUUUUGUGGGGUGCUCGAGUGGCGAACGGGUGAGUAACACGUGAGUAACCUGCCCUUGACUUUGGGAUAACUUCAGGAAACUGGGGCUCAUACCGGAUAGGAGCUCCUGCUGCAUGGGGGGGAUUGGAAAGUUUCGGCGGUUGGGGAUGGACUCGCGGCUUAUCAGCUUGUUGGUGGGGUAGUGGCUUACCAAGGCUUUGACGGGUAGCCGGCCUGAGAGGGUGACCGGCCACAUUGGGACUGCGGUACGGCCCAGACUCCUACGGGAGGCAGCAGUGGGGAAUAUUGCACAAUGGGCGGAAGCCUGAUGCAGCAACGCCGCGUGCGGGAUGCCGGCCUUCGGGUUGUAAACCGCUUUCGCCUGUGCCGAAGCCUGAGUGACGGUAAUGGGUAAAGAAGCACCGGCUAACUACGUG
rnacentral:rRNA from 1 species